AUAACAUACAACUUUCUCCUUUUUAGUAUUUAAUUACUUUUCCUAGUUAACAUGUAAGGACUCUACCUUUUACUUUGUUGCAUGAGAUUUCAUUAAAUAGAUUACUAUAAUUUAACUACUUAAGUUCUGUCAAAUAUCUGUGGCAUUUGAUACUGCAAAUAAUGUUAUAAUAACAUUUUCACAAAUAUAGCUUUUUCAUUCUGUGAUAGUCUUUCUUCAGGACCCAUUUCCAAAGCAGGUGUCUGAGGUAAGCCUGAGCUCUCCCCUAACGUCCACUACUUUUGACAAACUGCUUCCCAUUAGUUUAUACAAUUUACUUCCUCCUCCAAUGUCAUAAAUGUCACUUUGUUUUGCUUUACUGCUUUGUUUUGUUUUAUAAGAUUCAAGCUUUACUGUGUAGCGUAGGGUGACCUCAGACUUUCAUUCCCUCAUCCUCCAAGUAGCUGGGCCUACGGGCACAUGCCACCUCAUCUGGCUAGAAGCCAUCAGUGUUAUAAUGUCCUUUCCAAUAUUUAACACUAAAAUUGACACCUUGUAUUCACCAGGUACAUGACUAGCAAUGAUUGGAGAUCUUUGCUUCUAAUGCCACCAUCCUCAUUACAAACCUGAGAAAUGACUGUUAGCUACCCUCUGUUCAGAUGAGGGUGUCAAAGCUCAGAAGUUACAGAGCUGAGGUCAUACAGCAGCUAAGUAUGCAAGCCUGGAUGGAAUCCAGACCCUAACCUGUGGCUGUCCUGCCACGUCCCUCCUCCCCUCAGCUUCUACAGAAGAUGCAGUGAGUCCAUCCCCCACAUAUCAUUUAUCAAUCGUGUGUCUGCACAGCUUUCUUCCGGGAGACCCACAUCCCAUCCUGUUGUCUUCACCAAGACAUCAGUUUAUAGAAGACUGUUGCCCUUAUUUUCUUCCUCCUCCUUCCUGCUAACAUGAGGGAAUAAAGCAUUUUCUACACCUUUUCAUCAUCUUUUCACAUCACUCAUUCUUGUGAUUUAGCACCUUGAUUGGAUUCAAAUGUCCUGUCAUGAAUGACAAUGGGCUCAGAAAAACAUCAUUAUCUGACCAGUUACCAAGAAUAAACUUAUCUGGUUGGUUGGUUGAA